rnacentral:misc_RNA from 1 species
CCACCGGCCGCCAUGCUCGAGCACGCGCCCGCCGCCGCCGAGCGCAGCCAGCGUGCUCGAACACCUGGCAUUGGCGACCAGCUCCCCCGCGCAAGUGGAGCACUCGCCCUCCCCGCCGCACCUCCGCGGGACGGAAGAUGCCAGCCCCCUCCUUCGAAGCACCGACCUCGCGCACGGCAGCAUCGUGGAGGUGCACUAUGUGCGAUCCGGCUGUCGACGGCGGGAGAGGGGAACCCUAGAUUCGGGCCGCGGCUCGGGGCGGUGCUGGCGUCGCAGGAGAAGGUCCUGAAGCCUGGAAGGAGGGCCGGAGGGAUUGGCAGAGGCACGAGGAAUUGGAGCUCUUGGUUUGCGGUGG